rnacentral:pre_miRNA from 1 species
GGCUGUGAGUUGGCUUAAUCUCAGCUGGCAACUGUGAGAUGUUCAUACAGUCCUCCACAGUGGUCUCUGGGAUUAUGCUAAACAGAGCA